UCCCUGGUAGUCCAGUGGCUAAGACUCCAGCUCCAAAUGCAGGGAGGCAUGGGUUUGAUUCCUAGUCAGGGAA
rnacentral:tRNA from 1 species